rnacentral:rRNA from 1 species
CCUACGGGGGGCUGCAGUGGGGAAUAUUGGACAAUGGGGGCAACCCUGAUCCAGCCAUGCCGCGUGUGUGAAGAAGGCCCUCGGGUUGUAAAGCACUUUCAGUGAGGAAGAACGCCUGGUGGUUAAUACCCAUCAGGAAAGACAUCACUCACAGAAGAAGCACCGGCUAACUCCGUGCCAGCAGCCGCGGUAAUACGGAGGGUGCGAGCGUUAAUCGGAAUUACUGGGCGUAAAGCGCGCGUAGGUGGCUUGAUAAGCCGGUUGUGAAAGCCCCGGGCUCAACCUGGGAACGGCAUCCGGAACUGUCAAGCUAGAGUGCAGGAGAGGGAGGUAGAAUUCCCGGUGUAGCGGUGAAAUGCGGAGAGAUCGGGAGGAAUACCAGUGGCGAAGGCGGCCUUCUGGACUGACACUGACACUGAGGUGCGAAAGCGUGGGUAGCAAACAGGAUUAGAUACCCUUGUAGUC